rnacentral:rRNA from 1 species
GACGAACGCUGGCGGCGCGCCUAACACAUGCAAGUCGAACGAGCGAGAGAGAGCUUGCUUUCUCGAGCGAGUGGCGAACGGGUGAGUAACGCGUGAGGAACCUGCCUCAAAGAGGGGGACAACAGUUGGAAACGACUGCUAAUACCGCAUAAGCCCACGGCUCGGCAUCGAGCAGAGGGAAAAGGAGCAAUCCGCUUUGAGAUGGCCUCGCGUCCGAUUAGCUAGUUGGUGAGGUAACGGCCCACCAAGGCAACGAUCGGUAGCCGGACUGAGAGGUUGAACGGCCACAUUGGGACUGAGACACGGCCCAGACUCCUACGGGAGGCAGCAGUGGGGAAUAUUGCACAAUGGGGGAAACCCUGAUGCAGCGACGCCGCGUGGAGGAAGAAGGUCUUCGGAUUGUAAACUCCUGUUGUUGGGGAAGAUAAUGACGGUACCCAACAAGGAAGUGACGGCUAACUACGUGCCAGCAGCCGCGGUAAAACGUAGGUCACAAGCGUUGUCCGGAAUUACUGGGUGUAAAGGGAGCGCAGGCGGGAAGACAAGUUGGAAGUGAAAUCUAUGGGCUCAACCCAUAAACUGCUUUCAAAACUGUUUUUCUUGAGUAGUGCAGAGGUAGGCGGAAUUCCCGGUGUAGCGGUGGAAUGCGUAGAUAUCGGGAGGAACACCAGUGGCGGAGGCGGCCUACUGGGCACCAACUGACGCUGAGGCUCGAAAGUGUGGGUAGCAAACAGGAUUAGAUACCCUGGUAGUCCACACCGUAAACGAUGAUUACUAGGUGUUGGAGGAUUGACCCCUUCAGUGCCGCAGUUAACACAAUAAGUAAUCCACCUGGGGAGUACGACCGCAAGGUUGAAACUCAAAGGAAUUGACGGGGGCCCGCACAAGCAGUGGAGUAUGUGGUUUAAUUCGACGCAACGCGAAGAACCUUACCAAGUCUUGACAUCCCUUGACAGGCAUAGAAAUAUGUUUUCUCUUCGGAGCAAGGAGACAGGUGGUGCAUGGUUGUCGUCAGCUCGUGUCGUGAGAUGUUGGGUUAAGUCCCGCAACGAGCGCAACCCUUAUGGUCAGUUACUACGCAAGAGGACUCUGGCCAGACUGCCGUUGACAAAACGGAGGAAGGUGGGGAUGACGUCAAAUCAUCAUGCCCUUUAUGACUUGGGCUACACACGUACUACAAUGGCGUUAAACAAAGAGAAGCAAGACCGCGAGGUGGAGCAAAACUCAGAAACAACGUCCCAGUUCGGACUGCAGGCUGCAACUCGCCUGCACGAAGUCGGAAUUGCUAGUAAUCGUGGAUCAGCAUGCCACGGUGAAUACGUUCCCGGGCCU